CUCUAUAUAUUAUAUAUCUCUACAUAUAUUAUAUACAUAUGCACAUUUGCCAUGUUUGCCAUAUAUAUCGUGCAUCAGGCCUGGAGCAACUAAGAGGAAAAGAACAACAUGCAGACAUGGAGCUUUGGCUGAUGGAAAUGUUGGAAAUGAGAAUUUAGUGAAUUUCAAGUUUAAGUAGACAAAUUGUUUUAGUAUUUGAAUUUUAUCUUAAAAGAAUUAGAAAGUCUGAGUAUGGAACAGAAGACCUGGCAUUGAGCCAAGACUAAGCAAUGGAGUUCAAGUAAAGAAGACAUAUUCUGAAGGAAGACAGCCACACCUCACUCUGCAGCAUGGUAUAAGUUUGCUAGGUAAGGUUUUGGGAAGGAUUUGAUCAGGAACACCAGUGGCACCAGCAGGAGACUUGUCUCCUCUAUCAACAGUUAUCAGAGCUUAAUGAUGUCCCAUCCGCUUUCGACCAGCAAGAAUGACACGACCACCAGUUCUUCUAACAGCAGUUUAUUCAGCAAGCUUCAGUCUUCAUCUCUCUCUCUCUUCAUCUCUCUCCCUUCAUCUCUCUCUCUCUCUCAAACCCUGGGCCUCUCACUCUUAUAUACUCUCAGCCCCCAUCCACUCAUGGCAGGCCAUGUCACCUCACAAGGCACGCGGCUUCAGUUAAUCAGGGCAGCAGGGGCACGUCUCCACCAAAUAUGGACUUGUUUACACCACCAGCUCUGCA
rnacentral:lncRNA from 1 species